GAUAGUGAUUACCGAUAAACAUUACACAAUGAUAGUAUGGAUGUAAUAAACAACAAAUAAAAUUAUAGGAUGCAUGUUACCAUACCUGCCUGGGCAGGGAGUGGGAGGCAGCGAGGCUAGCAGCAAAUGAGCUCAAUGUUAGUCAGGCCACAUAGUUCCCCGCCGAGAAUAUGAAUAUCCUCACACUUUAUGACACAACUUAAAGUAAUCUGGAGUGUGUGGAAAUGGUGUUUCUCCGCCAUGGUUGCCCGUUGUAUCUGUCUCCAGGCACAACGCCUCAAAACGCAAAUGUGCAUAGAGCAUUUACCACUUAAAAUAACCAAUACUUUCAUCUCUGGUAAUAUCCGCAGAAACUCGUGUCACACCCUGCGUGUGACACACACACACACACACACACACACACAGAGAGAGAGAGAGAGAGAGAGAGAGAGAGAGAGAGAGAGAGAGAGAGAGAGAGAGAGAGAGAGAGAGAGAGAGAGAGAGAGAGAGAGAGAAUACAAGCUAUCUCAUUGGACAUACAUCUAAAUUGGUGUACACAAGCCUUACCUAAUAUGUGUAUGGAUGUCUGAGCAUAUACCAGCAUCUGUUAUGAGUCUGUGUGUGUGUGUGUGUGUGUGUACCAGCCUUACCAAGUGUGUGUGUGUUUCUAAGUGUACACCAGUGUUUGCGUACAAGUUUACAUGUGUACACCAGCCUUACCCCUCCAGACCCACCUAUGGCAUACAGCGUCAGUCCAGAGUACAGCCCCAGGUUGGUCUCGUUAGCCCCGAUGAGGAUGAAAGCAGGAAUCAUCAUCAUUAGGCCCUGUGGAUGGUGAGGGUGGUACAGCAGGCAGUGGUGGGUUAAAUAAUAUUGUUACUGAUAAAUUCUGUUGUUUUAUAUUAUAAUUAUUUGGCUACACAGUAAAAAUAUAGAUUUGAAAA